rnacentral:lncRNA from 1 species
GGUACACAACUAGAAUUUUUUUUUCCAUUUAAAUCUACUUUCCAUUGCAUUCAAUAUUUUCAUUUUCACCAUUGAGAAUUUACACAAUAUUUUAAGAAGUUUUCAAAGUAAUACAUAUAUUAUUUAUUAAUAGUAAAAAGUCAUUUAAUAUUUCUUCAUACUCUUCAAUGAUUAGCCUUGCAGUAUACAUGUGGUCGUGUAAAGAAUACCUCUCAAUGUUCAAAUUUUACGGGCAUUUUAGUUACUCAUAUCUAGGGUUUGCUUCUUGCCUUUUGAAAGUUUUGUUGUCCAAAGAGCUUCUAUAAUUUUCUCAUUGUUUUUCACUAUUUUUCUUCCGAUUUGUAAUGUUUGCUUUUUAAUUAUCUAAUAUUAUCAUCAAAUUCUUAUGUUUUCUAAAUGUUUAGGCCCUUUAAUUCUGUUUUUAAUCAUUAUUUUUUCUCUCUACAAUAUAUGUUAACAUCAUGCUUUCAAAUCUCUUCAUCGCUCUCAUAUGAAGUAUACGAGUAACAUGUAUGUUAUUAACUAUGCGACAAAAAAUUACUGUCUCGUGCAAAUGCAUGGGUAACUUACUAGUUUACUCUUAUAUAUAAAACAUUACCUUAACAAUCUAUAUACUGU